CAAUAGCGUAUAUUAAAGUUGUUGCAGUUAAAAAGCUCGUAGUUGGAUUUGUGGUUCGUCCCGCCGGCUGGGUCAUUGACUUUUGCUGUGCUGGUCGUCCAUCCUUGGGUGGAAUCUGUGUGGCAUUAGGUUGUCGCGCAGGGGAUGCCCAUCGUUUACUGUGAAAAAAUUAGAGUGUUCAAAGCAGGCUUAUGCCGUUGAAUAUAUAGCAUGGAAUAAUGAUAUAGGACCUUGGUACUAUUUUGUUGGUUUGCGCAUCGAGGUAAUGAUUAAUAGGGACAGUUGGGGGUAUUCGUAUUCCAUUGUAAGAGGUGAAAUUCUUGGAUUUUUGGAAGACGAACUACUGCGAAAGCAUUUACCAAGGAUGUUUUCAUUAA
rnacentral:rRNA from 1 species